UAGUUGUGCUGCAGUCUUGAAUAUGCUAUUCAGCAUCUGGCCUGGAUUCCUGAGAUUUGCCUCUUGAUAUCCCAAGAUAAUUUGAUAGCAAGAGAAAACACUGGCAAUGUAAUGCUAAGUGAAGAAAAAGCCGAGUUCACAAAGAUUGGCCCUCAGAGCACGUGGCGUUCCCAUGCUGAGAACUGGGACCUUUGUGGUAGCAGAGCGCAGAGGACAGGACAAUUCCUGGAGGCUUAUAGCUGGACCCAGUGUGCUGCUGGAGGUCUCAGGUGCACCAAAUUGGAGCUGGGAGAGCCUGAAGCAAAGUAGAACCUCCCAGCCAAGCCAAGAAGGGUGGGCUUCUGCUAUGAGAGCAGACCUGGCACAAACAGAUGAGAAGCAGAAACAAGUGAAGAGGAUUGAAGAGGAGCCCACAUUUUAAAAGUCCUUGUCUGCAGGAGGUGGCAUUACCUGUGAUCUCGCUUCACUUCUUCAUAUAUGGCUGUUGUAGCAGGCCUGGAUCUUUGAGACUUGCUCCCAGGAGGAGUCAACUUGUGAAAAUGCUGGCGAUGUAAUGCUAGAACAAAAACCAAACCGUGAAGACUAGGCCUAGUGGAAACUGAAUUCUCGCAAAGAGAAGAUGCCUGAUAAGGUCCUGGUAUCCUGACACUCGUCCCUAGAAGACAACUUGAUAAUUGGGAAAAUGUUGGAGAACGAAUGCUGAGUGAAGAAGAGCUGAACUGUGGGGCCAAGAUCUGAUGGAAAGAUUUUCAUGAAGCUGUCACAUGAAGAAGUUGAAGAAUGUUUAAUGACAUGAGAAAGCGCUAUGUUCUAAUGCUAAAUGAUGAAGCUAUGAGACAAAACCCUGCCUAACUUCUGAUUGGAAUUUAUAUUCAUCCUCCAUCCCGUGAGGCCUACCAGGUGGCAUACUGCAGGAGCCACUGUGCUUCCUGAAGGUCUCCGAGGCACCCAAUUGUCUAAAGACCCGCUGCUUGGAACUAGGAGGACCUGAAUGCCUGGAUCCCUGAGGAUUGCCCCUUGAUAGCCCCCAACAAUUUGAUAGUAUGAGAAAAUGCUGGAGAUAUAAUGCUGAGGGAAGAAGAACAGAUAUGGGAAGAAUUGUUCAAGUGGGAAUUGAAAUCUGGAAAA